rnacentral:rRNA from 1 species
GACGAACGCUGGCGGCGUGCUUAACACAUGCAAGUCGAACGGGUCUGCCCUGUUUUUUGCGGGGUGGGUCAGUGGCGAACGGGUGAGUAACACGUGAGUAACCUGCCCCUCACUUCUGGAUAACCGCUUGAAAGGGUGGCUAAUACGGGGUGUUCUGGCUGUGCCGCAUGGUGUGGCUGGGAAAGAUUCACUUUUGUGGUGUUUUGGUGGGGGAUGGGCUCGCGGCCUAUCAGCUUGUUGGUGGGGUGAUGGCCUGCCAAGGCUUUGACGGGUAGCCGGCCUGAGAGGGUGGGCGGUCACACUGGGACUGAGCUACGGCCCAGACUCCUGCGGGAGGCAGCAGUGGGGGGUAUUGCACAAUGGGCGGAAGCCUGAUGCAGCGACGUCGCGUGAGGGAUGGAGGCCUUCGGGUUGUGAACCUCUUUCGCCGGUGAAGAAGGUCCUGCUCUUUGUGGUGGGGUUGACGGUAGCCGGGUUAUGAAGCGCCGGCUAAUUACGUG